rnacentral:rRNA from 1 species
CCUACGGGAGGCAGCAGUGGGGAAUAUUGGACAAUGGGGGCAACCCUGAUCCAGCCAUGCCGCGUGUGUGAAGAAGGCCUUUUGGUUGUAAAGCACUUUAAGCGAGGAGGAGGCUACUUAGAUUAAUACUCUGAGAUAGUGGACGUUACUCGCAGAAUAAGCACCGGCUAACUCUGUGCCAGCAGCCGCGGUAAUACAGAGGGUGCAAGCGUUAAUCGGAUUUACUGGGCGUAAAGCGUGCGUAGGUGGCCAAUUAAGUCAAAUGUGAAAUCCCCGAGCUUAACUUGGGAAUUGCAUUCGAUACUGGUUGGCUAGAGUAUGGGGGAGGAUGGUAGAAUUCCAGGUGUAGCGGUGAAAUGCGUAGAGAUCUGGAGGAAUACCGAUGGCGAAGGCAGCCAUCUGGCCUAAUACUGACACUGAGGUACGAAAGCAUGGGGAGCAAACAGGAUUAGAUACCCUGGUAGUCCAUGCCGUAAACGACGUCUACUAGCCGUUGGGGUCUUUGAGACUUUAGUGGCGCAGCUAACGCGAUAAGUAGACCGCCUGGGGAGUACGGUCGCAAGACUAAAACUCAAAUGAAUUGACG